rnacentral:rRNA from 1 species
GACGAACGCUGGCGGCGUGCUUAACACAUGCAAGUCGAACGGAAAGGCCCUGCUUUUGUGGGGUGCUCGAGUGGCGAACGGGUGAGUAACACGUGAGUAACCUGCCCUUGACUUUGGGAUAACUUCAGGAAACUGGGGCUAAUACCGGAUAGGAGCUCCUGCUGCAUGGUGGGGGUUGGAAAGUUUCGGCGGUUGGGGAUGGACUCGCGGCUUAUCAGCUUGUUGGUGGGGUAGUGGCUUACCAAGGCUUUGACGGGUAGCCGGCCUGAGAGGGUGACCGGCCACAUUGGGACUGAGAUACGGCCCAGACUCCUACGGGAGGCAGCAGUGGGGAAUAUUGCACAAUGGGCGGAAGCCUGAUGCAGCAACGCCGCGUGCGGGAUGACGGCCUUCGGGUUGUAAACCGUUUUCGCCUGUGAUGAAGCGUGAGUGACGGUAAUGGGUAAAGAAGCACCGGCUAACUACGUG